rnacentral:rRNA from 1 species
GAAGGAUCAUUAUUGAAAUAAACCUGAUGAGUUGCUGCUGGUUCUCUAGGGAGCAUGUGCACACUUGUCAUCUUUAUAUCUCCACCUGUGCACCUUUUGUAGACCUGGAUAUCCCUCUGAAUGCUAGUCACUCAGGUUUGAGGAUUGACUUUAUGUCUCUCCUUGCAUUUCCAGGCCUAUGUUUCUUUAUAUACCCAAUGUAUGUCAUAGAAUGUAAUCAAUGGGCCUUUGUGCCUAUAAACCUAUACAACUUUCAGCAACGGAUCUCUUGGCUCUCGCAUCGAUGAAGAACGCAGCGAAAUGCGAUAAGUAAUGUGAAUUGCAGAAUUCAGUGAAUCAUCGAAUCUUUGAACGCACCUUGCGCUCCUUGGUAUUCCGAGGAGCAUGCCUGUUUGAGUGUCAUUAAUAUAUCAACCUCUUCAACUUUUGUUUGUCGGGUGUUGGAUUUGGGGGUCUUUUUUGCUGGUCUUGUAUCCUACAGGUCAGCUCCCCUGAAAUACAUUAGCAGAACAAUUUGUGAACCGUUCAUUGGUGUGAUAACUAUCUACGCUAUUGACGUGAAACAGGUUCAGCUUCUAACAGUCCAUUGACUUGGACAACUUUUCAUUAAUGUGACCUCAAAUCAGGUAGGACUACCCGCUGAACUUAAGCAUAUCAAUAAGCGGAGGAAAAGAAACUAACAAGGAUUCCCCUAGUAACUGCGAGUGAAGCGGGAAAAGCUCAAAUUUAAAAU